rnacentral:sRNA from 1 species
UUCUCUCUCGUUUUCUCUCGCGUCUCCGACGCCGUGUCUUCUUCUCCGGCAGACCUCCUUUUCUCCAGCGGACCUCCUCUUCUCCGUCUGCUGUUCUUCUUCUCCUUUGCUGUCUUCUCCGUUCUUCUUUGCCGUCUUGUUCUAGUAAACCCUAAUCGAGUCUUUUCUCUUCUCCGGCGAGUUGCCGAUCUCCGCCGUGUCUUCUUCCCACCGUCGGUUUCUAACCAAA